GUCUAUCAGUCACAGGGAUAAGACAGAGGAAGUUAAAAAAAAUAAAAAUAAUAAAAAUAAUAAUAACUACAACUUUUAUUUGAUCACAUUUUUAUUUAUUAUUACCGUUCAGAGUCUUAUUACAAAUGAAGUUUUCCUCUAAAAAGUACCAGCAGUGAUUGGUUCCUUCUCCAUAGUUUUGCUGUUUUAGUUCAAACACUGUCUUUUAUUGUAACUCCAACAGCAACAGAUCCAUGUUGAAGCAACUGCAGAGACGUUGCUCAAUCACAGUUACCUCAGGUUAAAUAAGAAAAAAAAGAUGUUUGUCGUUGAGAUACUACGAGGGUAAACAAGAAUACUCUCAACGAAUAAUGCAAUACUAGUAUGUACUGUAUGUAUAACAGUAGCCAGAAAUACUCUUCAGGUACAACACACACAGAGAUGGAGAUGAGAAACAGUCGUAUGGUCAUGUUGGUUUUUUCUGCCUGUUGGCUCUGAGUCUGUGAGUCUCAGCUUUUUAUAUUAAUAUUCAGAAAUGUAAUAAGUCAACAGGGAGAAUGUUGAAUUUCAAGUGUCUAAUUUUCACUAUGUAAAUGAAUGUUUGUUUGGAAGUGGAAGCAAAACAACUUAAGUUGCCAAGUUUGACUUUUUCUUUAUUUCAUUUAAUUUUUUCAAGUUGAAUUUUCAAAUUAUUUUUAAAGGAUUUUUUUUUGUAUGUGUGUGUGUGUGUGUGUGUGCACUGGUCUGGUGAAGAACAAACCACUAACACCUGACAGUGUUUUAUUGUUCAGAUUAACGUAUUGCUGGUCCAACCUCUCAGUCUUGUUUUAUGCUAACUGCUAAUGAUGCUACAGUACGGUGAUCCAAACGUGUGUGUUGUUUUCAACAGCAUUACAUCUUGUUUUUCACACAAACAAACAAUGAUUCAAUGACUUUCCUGUUGUUGUAUUUUAUUAUUAAUUUUUAAAUAUUAUUUCUGCCAUUGAACCGUAGCAGGUUUGUUAUGUUCCUCGUCAAUCGUCGUCGUACUCCAACAACACGUUCUGUCAUUUCUGUGACUUAUUCAGUCACUUCUGUGAUGUCAGUUCAGUCAUUCAACAGUAACCGUGAUGAAAUCCCAUGCACGUCCAGGUUUAAUGUUCCUUCUGGAUUUAUUUCUCGUGGGUAACAAACGGACCUACAGUCUGUCACGGCGUCGUCUGUACAACGUAAGCUUCUACUAACACCACGUACUCCGUCAGCCGUCAGUGGUUGGUGGAGAGACGUAAGCACUGCUUGUCUGAGGACGUGUCAAAGGCAUUUGGAGUUGUUGUUGUUAUGAAAGUGAUAAAUAUGGUUGCGUUUAGCCGUCUAUGGUAAAUGGUCGCAGAGAAACAAAAAAAUAUGGCUCAGAACAGUCUGUAAGAGUGAAACCAACUUCCGUACCAGUGGAACGUAGGCACAUCAUCUGUGUAUGGAUGGCUGUAAAUGGAAUUAUAGAUGUUGUUAUAAGCUGCACAGGCCAUAGAAAAAAAAAAAACCAACACAAUAUGACAACAAUAGUAACAAUAAUAAUAAAAACAACACAACAACAGGUGACAAGAGUGAUGCACACGAUGGUACUGACAGAAUAAGACGUAAACAUCGGCUCCGUGACCAGUGUAAGUGAUGGUGAAGCAGUUCCAUGGUUUUACAUGAAUCCUGUCCAACGUUACCGUCUGUGAAGGUUUUUUUUCUCCACUGAAUUUACCGCUCUCUCAAAAGCAACCGUUACAUAGAUUACCAGAUGUGACAGGAUGAAGUUUAUUGAAAAAUAUUUCUAAAUAAAUUGGCUGUUUAUGUCAGAAGAUUUCAACAUCAUUUCAUGUCGUUUCACGGUUCAGUCUGAGGCCGAAUCACGUUGUGUUUAAAGUUCAUUAUUCUCACUUUUGCUAUUGUUGACCAGCUUUUCUUCAGUGGUCGGGGGAAAACAGAAUGAGUCGGAACGUCGUUAGUGAGACGCUGAUGUAAAAUGCAUGCUGGGUAAUGAUAAUUGCAUCUUUCAUUCGCAGCAUUUCCUCUGUGUCCCCUACAGAUGAGGCAUGUUUUUGAGGCACAGUGUGAGACUGGGAUGGUACAGACAAAACCACUGUGUCUGUGUGUGUCUGUGUGUGUGUGUGUGUGUGUGUGUGUGUGUGGUCAGUACUGUUUCACAAAGAAACACAGACAUUCUCUCCAGGUGUCGUCCUUGCUUUUCGUCCAAAAGUGCUUGAUUCGGGAUCACAACUCUUUGUCUUUCUCUUAUAAAUAUUAUAACACUUUAUUACACGUUGGUCUUAACCCUUAAUGUCAUAAACAAAAAAACAAAAGCAAAAUAUCAAAACAUUAAGUAUGACAAAUUGCAACAUUACAUCAUAAGUAGAAUCCAAACCCAAAAACAUCAGCAGAGGUUGUAAAAACGUUGUGCUUCUUUAACUUCACUUUUUCAAGUCCUCCACUGCCCUAGUUGUGUUUAACUUUAAACUUUGUUAUAUUCGCUAUAUGUUUAUAUAUUUAUAUAUAGAUAAAUGUACACGUAUAUCCGCAUUGAGGUCGGUCUCUUGGGGCAAGCAGAGGGCAGACAAAGAGGCUUCUGGAAGCGUCCUUCUUCUUCUUCUUCCCUCUGUCUCUGGUUUGUCCUUUCCUCCUCAUUCAUAUAUUUUUUUAUUCGUCCAUUCACUCGCUCCUUCAACAGUUCUCCCUCCUGUCUUUGUCAUUCAGCGACUCCCAGCGUCCCAAAGGUUAGGACAGACAGUUUCUGUGAAAAAGAAUGAUAUUCCAGGCGUUCCACCUCUCUUUCACUUUCUUCUUGGAAGUCAUGUUCCUUUGCUUUAAUCCCUUAGGUCUUUUGUCAUCUUUGGUUGGGUGUCCGACACUUUGGUGUGUCUCGGGAAUUGGGCUGUCAAGGUUCUGCAGUCCUGGGGAGCGUAGAUAUAUGAGAGGGUACGGGCAUGGUCGGGGAGGGUGGGUUCAGGAGAGGGGGAGGCGACAAUGUGACACCGUGUUAUGGAUAUCAUAAAUCUGAUCAGGUUGA